GGGGAAUUUUCCGCAAUGGGCGAAAGCCUGACGGAGCAAUACCGCGUGAGGGAGGAAGGCUCUUGGGUCGUAAACCUCUUUUCUCAGGGAAGAACACAAUGACGGUACCUGAGGAAUAAGCAUCGGCUAACUCCGUGCCAGCAGCCGCGGUAAUACGGAGGAUGCAAGCGUUAUCCGGAAUGAUUGGGCGUAAAGCGUCCGCAGGUGGCUGUGUAAGUCUGCUGUUAAAGAGUCUAGCUCAACUAGAUACAAGCAGUGGAAACUACACGGCUAGAGUACGUUCGGGGCAGAGGGAAUUCCUGGUGUAGCGGUGAAAUGCGUAGAGAUCAGGAAGAACACCAGUGGCGAAGGCGCUCUGCUAGGCCGUAACUGACACUGAGGGACGAAAGCUAGGGGAGCGAAUGGGAUNAGAUACCCCAGUAGUCCUAGCCGUAAACGAUGGAUACUAGGCGUGGCUUGUAUCGACCCGAGCCGUGCCGUAUCUUACGCGUUAAGUAUCCCGCCUGGGGAGUACGCCGGCAACGGUGAAACUCAAAGGAAUUGACGGGGGCCCGCACAAGCGGUGGAGUAUGUGGUUUAAUUCGAUGCAACGCGAAGAACCUUACCAAGGCUUGACAUGUCGCGAAUCUUGAUGAAAGUUGAGAGUGCCUUCGGGAGCGCGAACACAGGUGGUGCAUGGCUGUCGUCAGCUCGUGUCGUGAGAUGUUGGGUUAAGUCCCGCAACGAGCGCAACCCUCGUUUUUAGUUGCCAGCAUUAAGUUGGGCACUCUAGAGAGACUGCCGGUGACAAACCGGAGGAAGGUGGGGAUGACGUCAAGUCAGCAUGCCCCUUACGCCUUGGGCUACACACGUACUACAAUGCUCCGGACAGAGGGCAGCAAGCAUGCGAAUGCAAGCAAAUCCCGUAAACCGGAGCUCAGUUCAGAUCGUAGGCUGCAACUCGCCUGCGUGAAGGAGGAAUCGCUAGUAAUUGCAGGUCAGCAUACUGCAGUGAAUUCGUUCCCGGGCCUUGUACACACCGCCCGUCACACCAUGGAAGCUGGUAGUGCCCGAAGUCAUUACUCCAACCUUUCGGGGAGGAGGAUGCCUAAGGCAGGACUGGUGACUGGGGU
rnacentral:rRNA from 2 species